AUUGAACGCUGGCGGCAGGCUUAACACAUGCAAGUCGAACGAGUGGCGGACGGGUGAGUAAUGCUUGGGAAUCUAGCUUAUGGAGGGGGUUAACUACGGGAAACUGUAGCUAAUACCGCGUACCUGAGGAUGAGCCCAAGUGGGAUGAGGUAGUUGGUGGGGUAAAGGCUCACCAAGCCGACGAUCUCUAGCUGGUCUGAGAGGAUGACCAGCAACACUGGAACUGAGACACGGCCCAGACUCCUACGGGAGGCAGCAGUGGGGAAUAUUGCGCAAUGGGGGCAACCUGACGCAGCCAUGCCGCGUGAAUGAAGAAGGCCUUCGGGUUGUAAAGUUCUUUCGGUAGCGAGGCGUUAACUACAGAAGAAGCACCGGCUAACUCCGUGCCAGCAGCCGCGGUAAUUC
rnacentral:rRNA from 1 species